ACCUAAUUUCACAAGCACAACCCAAUCCUUUAAUAGUACUGAGUAAUUCUAUAUACUUAUAGAAAAUUUUAUGUUGAAACUAGUAAUAAGAAGAAGACCUUCUCUUUAAUGUAAGUGUAUGUCAGAAAGGACAAACCACUGAUUUUUAACAUUAUUGAGCCUAAAGUAGAAACCCAUCAAGAAAAGCCUACUUUCACGUAUGUUAAUCUAACACAAGAACAUUUCAAGAAAGAUUAAAAGAAAAAGAAGGAACUCGGCAAAUAUUAACCUCGCCUGUUUACCAAAAACAUCGCCUCUUGCUACAAUAUAAGAGGUCCAGCCUGCCCAGUGACUCUGUUCAACGGCCGCGGUAUCCUAACCGUGCGAAGGUAGCGUAAUCACUUGUUCUUUAAAUGCGGACUAGUAUGAAUGGCACCACGAAGGUUAUACUGUCUCCUUUUUUUAAUCAAUGAAACUAAUCUUCCCGUGAAGAAGCGGGAAUAGAACUAUAAGACGAGAAGACCCUAUGGAGCUUUAAACAACACAGCAUUUGUCUAAAAAUUAAUCUAUUUCAGAAAAUCAACUCUUCAAACAAUAUGACUGCAAGUUUUCGGUUGGGGUGACCACGGAGCAUAAUAUAACCUCCAUGUUGAAAGAAUUUUUUUUAAAUUAAGAAUUACCAAUCAAAAUAUCAACAUAUUGACAUCCAUUGACCCAAUAUACUUGACCAACGAUCCAAGUUACCCUAGGGAUAACAGCGCAAUCCACUUCAAAAGCUCCUAUCGACAAGUGGGUUUACGACCUCGAUGUUGGAUCAGGGUAUCCCAGUGGUGCAGCCGCUACUAAA
rnacentral:rRNA from 1 species